CCUACGGGUGGCUGCAGUGGGGAAUAUUGGACAAUGGGGGGAACCCUGAUCCAGCCAUGCCGCGUGUGUGAAGAAGGCCCUCGGGUUGUAAAGCACUUUCAGUGAGGAAGAACGCCUGGUGGUUAAUACCCAUCAGGAAAGACAUCACUCACAGAAGAAGCACCGGCUAACUCCGUGCCAGCAGCCGCGGUAAUACGGAGGGUGCGAGCGUUAAUCGGAAUUACUGGGCGUAAAGCGCGCGUAGGUGGCUUGAUAAGCCGGUUGUGAAAGCCCCGGGCUCAACCUGGGAACGGCAUCCGGAACUGUCAAGCUAGAGUGCAGGAGAGGAAGGUAGAAUUCCCGGUGUUGCGGUGAAAUGCGUAGAGAUCGGGAGGAAUACCAGUGGCGAAGGCGGCCUUCUGGACUGACACUGACACUGAGGUGCGAAAGCGUGGGUAGCAAACAGGAUUAGAUACCCGAGUAGUC
rnacentral:rRNA from 1 species